UACGUAGGGGGCGAGCGUUGUCCGGAAUUAUUGGGCGUAAAGAGCUCGUAGGCGGUUUGUCGCGUCUGCUGUGAAAACUCGGGGCUUAACUCCGGGCCUGCAGUGGGUACGGGCAGACUAGAGUGCGGUAGGGGAGACUGGAAUUCCUGGUGUAGCGGUGAAAUGCGCAGAUAUCAGGAGGAACACCGGUGGCGAAGGCGGGUCUCUGGGCCGUAACUGACGCUGAGGAGCGAAAGCGUGGGGAGCGAACAGG
rnacentral:rRNA from 1 species